UGCAGCUGUGUCAAAUUUGAUGCCUGCCCUGCCUGUGUGGGCACUGACCCAGAGGGCUGCCACAGAGACACUGACUCAUGGGCCCUGUUCCUGUGUCUCGGCCUCAGGGAUAAAUUUGGUUACAGACACCA
ensembl:snoRNA